rnacentral:rRNA from 1 species
GAUGAACGCUAGCUACAGGCUUAACACAUGCAAGUCGAGGGACCGGCGCACGGGUGAGUAACACGUAUCCAACCUGCCCUUUACUCGGGGAUAGCCUUUCGAAAGAAAGAUUAAUACCCGAUAUAAAGGAUGGGGAUGCGUUCCAUUAGGUUGUUGGUGAGGUAACGGCUCACCAAGCCUUCGAUGGAUAGGGGUGCUGAGAGGAAGGUCCCCGACAACGGAACUGAGACACGGUCCAAAUGCCGACGGGAGGCAGCAGUGAGGAAUAUUGGGCAAUGAGCGCUAGCCGGAACCAGCCAAGUAGCGUGAAGGAUGAAUGCGUAGGGGUCGUAAACUUCUGUUAUAGAAGAAUAUGUAUUAAAUGAAUAAGGAGCGGCUAACUCCGUGCCAGCAGCCGCGGUAAUAC